AGAGUUUGAUCAUGGCUCAGGAUGAACGCUAGCUACAGGCUUAACACAUGCAAGUCGAGGGAAACGACAUCGAAAGCUUGCUUUUGAUGGGCGUCGACCGGCGUACGGGUGAGUAACGCGUAUCCAACCUGCCCACCACUUGGGGAUAACCGUUGCGAAAGUAAGACUAAUACCCAAUGAUAUCUCUAGAAGACAUCUGAAAGAGAUUAAAGAUUUAUCGGUGAUGGAUGGGGAUGCGUCUGAUUAGCUUGUUGGCGGGGUAACGGCCCACCAAGGCAACGAUCAGUAGGGGUUCUGAGAGGAAGGUCCCCCACAUUGGAACUGAGACACGGUCCAAACUCCUACGGGAGGCAACA
rnacentral:rRNA from 1 species